rnacentral:rRNA from 1 species
GGAUUAGAUACCCUGGUAGUCCACGCCGUAAACGAUGAGAACUAGACGUUAGGAGGGUUAAGCCUCUUAGUGUCGGAGCUAACGCGUUAAGUUCUCCGCCUGGGGAGUACGGCCGCAAGGCUGAAACUCAAAGGAAUUGACGGGGGCCCGCACAAGCGGUGGAGCAUGUGGUUUAAUUCGAUGCAACGCGAAGAACCUUACCAGCCCUUGACAUCCUGGAAACUUGCUAGAGAUAGCUUGGUGCCUUCGGGAAUCCAGUGACAGGUGCUGCAUGGCUGUCGUCAGCUCGUGCCG